GGCAGGUGAAGGUUCACUUUGAGUCGUAGAAAGGCGAGAUGCCGAACUGGUCGUGCGACGCGGCCGGUGUGCAAGGUGUGAUGCCAUGGGGCUGUGCGAUGCAGCAACUUCGUGUGAAGCGACAUGGUACGAGGGAAGUGCAGCGUGACAACCUGUGUGAAAGAGCCCUGGAGCCAACAUCUACACAUGCGUGAUCCGAGUGAACAGGUUGAGUCAGUUUGCAUGCAUGUGAGUUUGUUAGCUGCAUGUAGUGUGCAUUUGAGGCCAAGUCAUGGCUCCUGGAGAGAUUCCAGGAUUAAGAUAAGGUCAGUUAGUACAUGGUUAGUGCAUGGAGAGUUUAGUGGAGUAGUGGGUCUAGGUAUUGGCGUGAGUUUUGCACGGCAAGAGUGCCAGCCCCUGCUGUAUAAAUGUGUUGCUUUGAGUAAUCAAAAGAAGAGGCCGUGAGGGCACAAGUGGCAAGAUGUAGCACUAGUGUUCACCAAGGAGCAGACCCUCUUGGCAAAGCAGCGGCUGUCUUCUCUUUGGUGUAUGCGUGUGUGUGUGUGUGUGGAGUUUCACCAUGACCGUGUAGUGUGUGUUCUUGAGAGAGACAAAGAGAGAUGGAGAUUGAGUUGUGAGAGGCAGCUCAGGAGGAAGAAGAAGCGGUGCUGCAAGGAGAGAUGGCGCCAACAAUUGGCAUCAGAGCCUUGUCGAUCCGAGGCGACGACGGCAGCGCGGCCUACUCCAUGUGAGGUGGAGGACGGCGGCGCAAGGUGGAGGCUGUCGGUGGCGUGAUGCCGCUGGUGGCCGGUUGCGGUGCGAUGCCGCAAGAUGUUGACGGCGUGGCGAUCGGCGCCGCCAUCCACGUCAAGAGAUGGUUGCUGCAUGUGGCAGGAGGUCGUGGUACUUGGCGCCGCGAGGGCGUCGUCCACGGCAAGACGGCAUGGUGAUUGGCGUCGCGAGGACGUCAUCGAUGACAAGAUGGUCCAUGGUGACCGGCGCUGCGACGACGUCGGUGGCGGCGAGUGGCCGGCUGCAGCGCCGCGAUGGCGUCGCCAAGUGGCAGCGGGUGAAGCCGCGUGAAGAUUGAAGAAUCAAGAUUAAGGGGGAAAAUGUUAGCUCUAAUCUUGAUUUGUAUCUGCAUACUUAGUUUGUUUUUUGUCAUGCAUGUGACUUAGAUGGCCUAGGGAGUGAUAGGCAGGUGAAGGUUCACUUUGAGUCGUAGAAAGGCGAGAUGCCGAACUGGUCGUGCGACGCGGCCGGUGUGCAAGGUGUGAUGCCAUGGGGCUGUGCGAUGCAGCAACUUCGUGUGAAGCGACAUGGUACGAGGGAAGUGCAGCGUGACAACCUGUGUGAAAGAGCCCUGGAGCCAACGUAUACACAUGCGUGAUCCGAGUGAACAGGUUGAGUCAGUUUGCAUGCAUGUGAGUUUGUUAGCUGCAUGUAGUGUGCAUUUGAGGCCAAGUCAUGGCUCCUGGAGAGAUUCCAGGAGUAAGAUAAGGUCAGUUAGUACAUGGUUAGUGCAUGGAGAGUUUAGUGGAGUAGUGGGUCUAGGUAUUGGCGUGAGUUUUGCACGGCAAGAGUGCCAGCCCCUGCUGUAUAAAUGUGUUGCUUUGAGUAAUCAAAAGAAGAGGCCGUGAGGGCACAAGUGGCAAGAUGUAGCACUAGUGUUCACCAAGGAGCAGACCC
rnacentral:lncRNA from 1 species